rnacentral:rRNA from 1 species
UGAGGAAUAUUGGUCAAUGGGCGAGAGCCUGAACCAGCCAAGUAGCGUGCAGGAUGACGGCCCUAUGGGUUGUAAACUGCUUUUAUGUGGGGAUAAAGUGCGUGACGUGUCAUGCAUUGUAGGUACCACAUGAAUAAGGACCGGCUAAUUCCGUGCCAGCAGCCGCGGUAAUACGGAUGGUCCGGGCGUUAUCCGGAUUUAUUGGGUUUAAAGGGAGCGUAGGCUGUCUAUUAAGCGGGUUGUGAAAUUUACCGGCUCAACCGGUGGCUUGAAGCGCGAACUGGUCGACUUGAGUAUGCAGGAAGUAGGCGGAAUUCAUGGUGUAGCGGUGAAAUGCUUAGAUAUCAUGACGAACUCCGAUUGCGAAGGCAGCUUACUGUAGCAUAACUGACGCUGAUGCUCGAAAGUGCGGGUAUCAAACAGG